GGGGAAUAUUGGACAAUGGGCGCAAGCCUGAUCCAGCCAUGCCGCGUGUGUGAAGAAGGCCUUCGGGUUGUAAAGCACUUUUGUACGGGAAGAAAAGCACUGGGUUAAUACCCCGGUGUCAUGACGGUACCCAAAGAAUAAGCACCGGCUAACUUCGUGCCAGCAGCCGCGGUAAUACGAAGGGUGCAAGCGUUACUCGGAAUUACUGGGCGUAAAGCGUGCGUAGGUGGUUUGUUAAGUCUGAUGUGAAAGCCCUGGGCUCAACCUGGGAAUUGCAUUGGAUACUGGCAGUCUAGAGUGCGGUAGAGGGUAGCGGAAUUCCCGGUGUAGCAGUGAAAUGCGUAGAUAUCGGGAGGAACAUCCGUGGCGAAGGCGGCUACCUGGACCAGCACUGACACUGAGGCACGAAAGCGUGGGGAGCAAAC
rnacentral:rRNA from 1 species